GUAAUAUUUUUUUACGAUCUAUAAUAUCACUAGAAUUCAAAAAAUCAAUGUUGUGUGUUUGUGUCUCACAAAACUAAAUUCCGUUUUUUGCUUGUUGGGUUGGGACUAUGGACUUGAAGUGUCAGAGGUGUCCAAUAGAUGACACAGGUGUUCUUGUUUAUCAUGUGAUGGUGGAUUGUUGUGUGGUUGUCAAAAGUUUCCUAUAUUUUUCAAUUUUUACAUGAAAAUUUCCUAUGAAUUCUUAAGCUCUGCGUGUAGGAAGGAACGCGAAAGGCAACUAGACAAGUACAAGUAGCCUACCAUCAAUUAUUUCAUAAAAUUUUUUCGUUCUACUGAAUGCUUCAUCCUAUUAAUACAGGUCACUAACCCCAGCAUUGACACGCAUUGUUUUUUCCAACAUGUUUCUACAAAUAAAGACAAAGAAAGCUAUGGGAACAUAAUCGGAUACCGACAUAAUCAAGGCCAUCCAUCGUAAUAAUCAUCGUAAUAAUAAUCAGGUUUAUUGCAGCAACUCAGAGAAUUCACAUGAAAAGAUGCAAGGCACAUACCUAUAUUUUUCUGAAUGUUUUACUCAAGCAGUAGAAGCAAUUAACUUUAGUUUAUUGCAUUAAUGUUGGAAUGUUUAUUGAAAUAUUUCCUUUAGUUCAACAUUACUAACUGUUUGAUGCCAAAGUAAGUUGGAACUCUAACUGAAACACUGAUUUUUUUCCAGUUUUCUCAAAAAAUUGUAAGUUGUAUUAUUUUGUCUUGACCCUCCAUACUUGCUGUGAGUAUUAUAGAUUGUUAAUGUUGAAUUAGUUCAGGAGAACGAUCCGAAAUUGCUAUCUAAAAGAAUUUGUGUGUUGUGUCAUAGGGAAAGCUGCUUGAGUAAUCUAUCUAGUGUCCAUCCCCACUUGAUUCAUUUCGUGCCAGCUGGUUUAAAGGCGUGACGAAUUCAAAUAGCUGCUACGUGCUGUCUGCAAGCAAGCAAUUCAAUUGGCUGUCGCUAGGUGGCGCGAGUGUCUUGAGGGGACUAAAUUCGGCCAUUUUGCACCUUGACGCAGCUGAAGUUGGAUGCCGGUCGUGACGUUUCGCAUGAUGAAAAUAUAAAGAUUAUUUCAAUGCCACUUUGUCAAAUCAUCUAACUCGGACUUGAGUGCCUGUUCAUUUUGCCGAAAUGUCGUGCCUCGUGUGUCCUGCUGCCAGUACCCAGUCGUACGUCUCGUCCCAUGCAAAAGCAAAAGUCUGCUGUUGGUUUACUUGUUGCAGCGAGAUGGUGAAAGGUGUGAUGACGUCUAAUUUAACCAUUGUAUGCAGCGUGUUGUUGCAGUGUUAUCCAGAAGUAGCUGCUCAGUGUGGCAGUAUCCUGAAGCAGCCUGAAGCCUGAAGUUGCCAGUGAUAUCCGGGUUGCUGACUUGGAAAUUUUUCUCUGUUUUCAUUUUUGUGUCUUUUGCUCUGCCAGUGGUAUUCUGAGUUGCAGACUUUACAUCUUUCUAUCUGUUCUCA